rnacentral:rRNA from 1 species
UACGAAGGGGGCUAGCGUUGUUCGGAAUUACUGGGCGUAAGGCGCGCGCAGGCGGCUAUCCAAGUCAGUGGUGAAAGCCCGGAGCUCAACUCCGGAACUGCCAUUGAAACUGUUUAGCUUGAGUAUGAGAGAGGUGAGUGGAAUUCCCAGUGUAGAGGUGAAAUUCGUAGAUAUUGGGAAGAACACCGGUGGCGAAGGCGGCUCACUGGCUCAUUACUGACGCUCAGGCGCGACAGCGUGGGGAUCAAACAGG